GCCGCGUUAGCUCAGUUGGUAGAGCAUCGCUCUUGUAAAGCGAAUGUCGAGAGUUCGAUUCUCUCACGCGGCU
rnacentral:tRNA from 1 species